rnacentral:rRNA from 1 species
UACGUAGGGGGCAAGCGUUGUCCGGAAUCAUUGGGCGUAAAGAGCGUGUAGGCGGCCCGAUAAGUCCGCUGUGAAAGCCCAGGGCUCAACCCUGGGAUGCCGGUGGAUACUGUCGGGCUCGAGUCCGGAAGAGGCGAGUGGAAUUCCUGGUGUAGCGGUGAAAUGCGCAGAUAUCAGGAGGAACACCAAUGGCGAAGGCAGCUCGCUGGGACGUGACUGACGCUGAGACGCGAAAGCGUGGGGAGCAAACAGG